rnacentral:rRNA from 1 species
GACGUAGGGGGCCAGCGUUGUUCGGAAUUACUGGGUGUAAAGGGUUCGUAGGCGGUGCGGCAAGUUGGGAGUGAAAUCUCUGGGCUUAACCCAGAGGCUGCUUCCAAAACUGCUGUGCUUGAGUGUGGGAGAGGCGCGUGGAAUUGCAGGUGUAGCGGUGAAAUGCGUAGAUAUCUGCAGGAACACCCGUGGCGAAAGCGGCGCGCUGGACCUUUUCUGACGCUGAGGCACGAAAGCUAGGGGAGCAAACGGG